GGUUCAAGCCACCUGGUGGAUGGCUCGGCUUGGGCGUCGAAGAAGGACGCGGCAAGCGGCGAUAUGCCCCGGGUAGGCGCAUGCAGCCUUCGAUCCGGGGAUCUCCGAAUGGCGUUAGCCACCGCGGGUUAACAGCCCGCGGUAUUCGAGAAAGCAACCGCGAGGUUGUGAGUAUCGAAGGAGAACCCCCCGAACGGAAACAUCUUAGUAGGGGGAGGAAAAGAAACCAAUAGGGAUCCCCUGAGUAGGGGCGACCGAAAGGGGGGGAGUCCAAACCGAACCCCGAGCGAAAGCUUUGGGGGAUGUAGGGUUAAAGGGGCUGACCGACCCCCCUGCCUGUUAAGCCGAAGUGGUCUGGAACGACCCGCCAUAGAGGGUGAUAGCCCCGUAGGCGUAAGCAGGCGAGGGGUUUGAGGUCAGAACCCAGAGUACCGUGGCUUGGUUUUGCUGCGGGAAGUUGGGAGGCACGGACUUCCAAGACUAAAUACGUCCCAAGACCGAUAGCGCACUAGUACGGUGACGGAAAGCUGAAAAGCACCCCGAGAGGGGGGUGAAAAGAGCCUGAAACCAGGUGGUUACAGGAGGCUUAGCCUGAAAGGGUCUCCUCCGAAGGAACCCUCGGCAACGAGGGAAGUACGAGGAGGGGAAGCCGGGGUUAAGCCUUCCGUCUGGAAACACGGGCCAGGGAGUUCACGGCUGUGGCGAGCCUAAGGGGUCUAACCCCGCAGGCAUAGGGAAACCGAAGGGCCCGCAGUCGGUAUCACUACUUCAACUCUAACUCCUUACCGAGGGUAACCCGAUGCGGUGGGAGAGGAGUUGAAGGAAAUAUCGAUGAGGGGCGGAGUCCUAAAGGGCUCGGAGUCACAGCCGUGAGACCAGAAACCAGGCGAUCUAGGCCUGGGCAGGGCGAAGCAAGGCGAAAGCCUUGUGGAGGCCCGAAAGGGUGCUGACGUGCAAAUCGCUCCCUUGACCCGGGCCUAGGGGCAAAAGACCAAUCAAGCCUGGUGAUAGCUGGUUCCCCCCGAAGCUGGUCCCAGCCAGGCCCGCCCAGAGGUAGCUUGCGGGGUAGGGCACUGAUUGAGAGGUAAGGAGUCGAAAGGCUCCGCCUCUCUUUCAAACCCCGAAUCUGCAAGCACCGUAGAAGGGCGGAGACGGGUUUGGGGGGUAAGCUCCCAAGCCGAAAGGGGAACAACCCAACCUGGGGUUAAGGCCCCUAAUUGCUGGCUAAGUGUUAACGGCGAAGGGCGUCUUCGGCCUUAGACAGCGGGGAGGUAGGCUUAGAAGCAGUUAUCCUUUAAACAACGCGUAACAGCGGACCCGCCGAGGCCGAAGGCCCCGAAAAUUGACGGGGCUUAAGCCAGCAGCCGAGACCCCAGGGGACCUCGAAAGGGGUCAUCCGGUAGGGGGGCGUUCUGGUUGGGUAGAAGCUGGUCCGUGAGGACCAGUGGACCAACCAGAAUUGCAGAUCCUGGCGGUAGUAACAGCCUAGUCGGGUGAGAAUCCCGACCGCCGAAAGGGCCAGGGUUCCUCAGCAACGCGUCAUCGGCUGAGGGUUAGCCAGUCCUAAGGCUGGGCUUAACAUGCUUCAGCCGAAAGGGAAACCGGUUAAUAUUCCGGUGCCGUGGAGGUACGAUCGCGGCAACGCAAGCCAGACCUCUGACCCUUCGGGAUAGGGCAGGUGGAGCUACCGCUCCACUUAACUACUUAAGGCCGCGGAGUGCCGUAAGGGCGAGAAGCGGCUGAAGGUAGGAAUAGCCUGCCGUUAGGCGGGUCUGCCCGAUUCCUGGAGGCCAUGAAAAGGGGGUCUGGAAGGAUCCUCCACGACUGUACCGAGAACCGACACUGGUGCCCCUGGGUGAGAAGCCCAAGGCGUGUCGGGGUUACCCCAGGCCAGGGAACUCGGCAAGUUGGCCCCGUACCUUCGGUAGAAGGGGUGCCUGGAGCUUUAGGCUUAAGCCUGGAGCUCUAGGUCGCAGUGACUAGGGGGACCCGACUGUUUAAUAAAAACAUAGGUCCCCGCAAGCCCGAAAGGGUGUGUACGGGGGCUGAAUCCUGGCCACUGGCGGUCCGUGAACCCCGGUUCCAACCGGGCGAAGCGCCGCCGAAGGCCGGGAGUAACUCUGACUCUCUUAAGGUAGCCAAAUGCCUUGUCGGGUAAGUUCCGACGCGCAUGAAUGGAUCAACGAGGUCCCCACUGUCCCGGCCUGGGACCCGGUGAACCCACCUCCUGGUGCAAAGUCCAGGGACCUCCGGCGGGGCGAGAAGACCCCGUGGAGCUUUACUGCAGCCUGGCGCUGAGGUACGACCGCUGAUGUGUAGCGUAGUCGGGAGUUAAUGAACCACCUCCUUUAGAGGUGGUGAAACGCCAAUGAAACACCGACCUUCAGCGGUUGUAUCCCUUACUAGAGGGUUUCCCUCUAGAACAACGCCAGGUGGGCAGUUCGGCUGGGGCGGCACGCCCUCGAAAGGAUAUCGAGGGCGCCCAAAGGUCGGCUCAGACGGGUCAGAACCCCGUCGUAGAGGGCAAGGCCAAAAGCCGGCCUGACCGAACCCUCAAAAGCAAGGGGUUCGGAGGCGAAAGCCAGGCCUAGCGACCGCUCAUGCCCUCCUCCGUGGAGGCUGGGCAUGACAGAAAAGUUACCCCGGGAAUAACCGGCUCGUCGCGGGCGAGAGCUCCCAUCGACCCCGCGGAUUGGUACCCAGACGUCGUCUCUUCCCAUCCUGGGAGUGAAGCAGCUCCCAAGGGUGGGGCUGCCCGCCCAUUAAAGGGGAACGUGAGAUGGGUUUAGACCGUCGUGAGACAGGUCGGUCUCUACCUGCCGGAGGCGUCGGUCGCCUGAGGGGAAGGUGUCCUCAGUACGAGAGGAACGGGACACCGUAGCCUCUAGUUUACCGGUUGUCCGGUAGGGCAUCGCCGGGCAGCCACGCUACAAGGGAUAAGAGCUGAAAGCAUCUAAGCUCGAAGCCCUCCCCGAGACGAGGCGACCAUUCUGCGUAGCUUACACUACGCAGACGAGGGCUCCCCCAGAAGAGGGGGUUGAUGGGGUGGGGGUGUAAGCGCCAAGGUUUAAGCCGAGGCGUUCAGCCCGCCACUCCCAAUCGCCCGAG
rnacentral:rRNA from 1 species